AUAAAAUGUUUAACUUUUAAUAGAAAUUACUUAUUACUCUCACUUUAAACUUUUAUAGUACCUAUUUAUUUUUGAUCUCACAUUUUUAAACAUUUUUAUUCAUAAAUUACAUAUUUUGUUUUACGUAAUUUUUUAAAAUGAAAGAUGAGCAGAAUGAUAAUAAUGACCCAGAAAAUUCCCGAAUAUUCGUAUUAUAUGACAAAAAUCACCCAAUAUCUGAAAAUGAGUUUAAAGAGAUGUUUGGAAAUUUUGGUGAUGUAAAAAAUAUUUAUAUUGUAAAAGAUCGCAACAGUGACAGUGUGAAAGGAGUUGCAUACAUAAAAUAUUCAAAAGCAUCGGAGGCUUUUAAAGCUAUUGAAGCAAUGAAUGGACAUAGAAUAGAAUCAUCUAAUCGUCGUAUGAAAGUCUUAAUGGCUACCAGCCCUGGCCACAUAAGAAGCAAUUCAGAAAUGGAAUACAAUAGACUAUUUGUAUUUGUACCAAAAACUGAUAAGGAAUCAGAUUUAGAAAAUAUUUUUAGUCAAUAUGGAGAAAUCUCUAAAGUUCAUAUAGUUACAAAUAAGGAUACUGGAGAAUCUAAAGGAAUAGCUUUUAUAACUUAUUCAAAGCCUUCGUCUGCUGCUUUAGCUAUUGAAGAAUGUGGACCAAAUUAUAAAGCUGUUUUUGCUAAACCCAAACAUGAUGAUGGACCAUCUGCAUAUCCUCCGUCUUAUCCUAGACAUGUUGAUUCUAAAAAUCCAACUAGCAGUUACUCAUUGCUUGCACCUCCAUCUCAUCAACAUCGAGAUGAACCUAGUGUAUUAACUGCUUAUACUUCAUCAAUUGUCUCGUAUAAUGAAGUUUAUAAAAUUAUGAAUAUUGCUCCUGAAUUGGAAUUAGUUAAAGAAUUAUCAAGACAGCAAAUGUACGAUAAGAAGAUAUUUCAAGUUAUUUAUAAUAGUAUUGCAGCAGCUGAACAUGCUGUAAAUCGAAUCAAUGGAUUUGAAUAUCCACCUGGUCAUCCAAUAAUAUUGGAAUUCAGUAGUACUCCCAUAUCUAUUUCAUCAGCAGUGGAUCCUAUAGCAAAUAAAAUUUCAAAAGAUAUUGAAGUGCUUUCUAGUACUGUCACCAAAGCAUUAGCCGUAAUUAAAAAUGCUAGUAACCUAACAUCUGCUUCUUUAUGCUUGGCGGAUGAUUAUAGUUCACCUUUAGCACCAAAAAGAGGAAAUGAAAAAGUUCUUUUGCCAUCAUCAGAUAAUUCAUUCAGAUUAUUUUUUGUGUGCAAACCAAUUAUUCCUCCAAUGCGCUUAUUAGAAGAUACUUUUAAGAUGUUUAAAGGGUUAAGAAAUAUUAAUGUUAUUGAUGGCAAGAAUUAUGGUUAUGUGACUUAUGAUAAUUUGGAAAGUGCUACACGAGCUAUUAAUUGUUUAAAUGAUCACAAAGUAUACAACAGUCGUUUAAAAGUAAUGGAAGCUGAACCUAGAGAACCAAAUCGUAAACGUAUGAAACCUGAUACAAUGUGAAUUAAAAUAUUUAUCACUGCUUUCAAGUUUAUAGAAGUAGUAAACUACUAUUCUGGGCCAAAGUGAGCAUAACAAAAUAAGUACCUACUUAAUCUUCAUAUCCUGUUUGAGUUAAUAUUGAAUUGUUUGAAUGAUUAACCGGCUCAAUAAAUUUUAAGACAGUAAAUAGCACAACAAAAACAAACAAUUUAUUAAACCCACUAAAACAACAACAGAAACUUGAGUUUGUCUAUAAUUACGAGACAAAUAUCACAAAAUCAACCGAUUUCAUGAAACACUACAAGAUAUUCAACAACUGUAACAUAUUGUCAACAUAAAAGACACUUUUUAAACUAACUAACAUAUUUUACAGUGUUAUUUGUUCAGAAAGUUUUAAAGCUGAGAACUUAUAUUUAUAUAGUUAUAAGCUUUUUAAUGUUUUUUUUUUCAUGGACAAACUACUUUAUAGUAUAAUUAAAUAAGCCAUUCAAAUUACUGGAUAUAUUUUAAGAAAUUAAAUAUAAUGACAAGGAAUUACAACACCUAAGAUACAUCUGGGUUAAGUCAGAGUAUAAUUAAUUCAUAUGUAUGAUGAUAUAUUUAGUAGAUAAUUAUUUACUAUUUUUAAUAAUUAACAUAAACUAUAUUUAAUACUAUAACAUAAAUAUCAAGUACACACAACAAGACUAACAUCUUUGAAACAUUGACAUUUACCAAUUAUGUAUUGCUUUUUAAAAAUAUUGAAUUAUUUAUAUAUUUAACUAGCUAUUUUAUAUAUUUUUUUAGUACAAACCAAAAAAGUAUUUACAUUUUUUCCAGAUGUAUAAUUUGUAUUUUUUUAAUUUAACUAAAAAGUAAAAUUAUUAACAAAUUAGUAUCAAUUAAUUACUUAAAUUUUUAGUAUUUUUUAAGUUAUUAGUCAUUUUUUAAUUUUUUUAGAUUGAGAUAUUUUUUAAUUACAUUCCAUUAAUGUAUAUGUACUAUUAAAUAUAUAAUGAUACUUAUAAAUAUUAUGGAAUAGGUUCGACAAAAUUUUAUACAAAUAUUGUGAUAUUGGUUUUAUUAUUUAAAUUAUUUUUUUUUAUAUUUUAAAAUAUUAUUGGUAAAUAUUAGAAUUAUUAAAAACGUUUGAGUAGGAAAUACACUACAUUUUAUUAGAGGAUUUAGUGAUAUAAAUUAUUUAUUUCAAUACAUUUUUCUAUUUUAAUUAUGAUCUUUGUAGUUAAAAUAUCUGUACAAAUAUAGGUACGUUUUAUUUGAAAUAAGUAAAUGUUAAUUUUAAAUUUUGUGUUAUUUAUGCAUCAUUUUAGUUAGUAUCUUAAGAAAAAUUACAUGUAAAAAGUUGAGAUUUAUUUAAUUAUGAUUUUCCCAACACGUCAUUAUAAUAUUUAGAACUUUUAAUUAUUUUUUUAAAACAAAUAAUUUUCUAUCUGGUAUGUUUUAAAAAACUUUUGUAUUGUGUUUUACUUACAUAUGCUUUAAUAUUAUCAUAUUAUCUUCAACCAUCAUUUAUGUAGAAUAUAUAUUUAAAAAAAAGUA